UUGAACGCUGGCGGCAGGCCUCACACAUGCAAGUCGAGCGGAUGAAGGGAGCUUGCUCCUGGAUUCAGCGGCGGACGGGCGAGUAAUGCCUAGGAAUCUGCCUGGUAGUGGGGGAUAACGUCCGGAAACGGGCGCUAAUACCGCAUACGUCCUGAGGGAGAAAGUGGGGGAUCUUCGGACCUCACGCUAUCAGAUGAGCCUAGGUCGGAUUAGCUAGUUGGUGGGGUAAAGGCCUACCAAGGCGACGAUCCGUAACUGGUCUGAGAGGAUGAUCAGUCACACUGGAACUGAGACACGGUCCAGACUCCUACGGGAGGCAGCAGUGGGGAAUAUUGGACAAUGGGCGAAAGCCUGAUCCAGCCAUGCCGCGUGUGUGAAGAAGGUCUUCGGAUUGUAAAGCACUUUAAGUUGGGAGGAAGGGCAGUAAGUUAAUACCUUGCUGUUUUGACGUUACCAACAGAAUAAGCACCGGCUAACUUCGUG
rnacentral:rRNA from 1 species